rnacentral:tRNA from 1 species
GGACGCGUGGUGUAGUGGUUAACAUACAGCCCUGUCAAGGCUGGGAUCGCGGGUUCGAUCCCCGUCGCGUCCGCCA